rnacentral:rRNA from 1 species
CACGUAGGGCGCAAGCGUUGUCCGGAAUUAUUGGGCGUAAAGAGCUCGUAGGCGGUCUGUUGCGUCCGCUGUGAAAACUCGGGGCUUAACCCCGAGCCUGCAGUGGAUACGGCAGACUAGAGGUAGGUAGGGAGAAUGGAAUUCCCGGUGUAGCGGUGAAAUGCGCAGAUAUCGGGAGGAACACCGGUGGCGAAGGCGGUU